AGUAAUGUAUGGGGAUCUGCCCGAUAGAGGGGGAUAACUACUGGGAACGGUGGCUAAUACCGCAUAAUGUCUACGGACCAAAGUAGGGGCUCUUCGGACCUUGCACUAUCGGAUGAACCCAUAUGGGAUUAGCUAGUAGGUGGGGUAAAGGCUCACCUAGGCGACGAUCUCUAGCUGGUCUGAGAGGAUGAUCAGCCACACUGGGACUGAGACACGGCCCAG
rnacentral:rRNA from 1 species